CCUUCUUGCAAUCAUAUUAUUCAGACCCAAUAUCUCUAGGUUUUCAUAUUUUUUGUAAUAUCGGCAAACAAAUCUUUGUUUCGCUUCCCUUCUCUUCAGAUGAUUCGUCCUACGAAGAGCUCUCUAUAACGGCUCUGAUUUUCAUUUAUGUGCUCCCUAAAUCCGUGCGUUAACGUGAUUUACCGCAUUCGACCCACUCUCUAGCAUUGAAUCGACCUCUUCAUCUUCUAAUGUAACCGGCAAAGCUUUCCUAUAAAUUUGCAAGAUCCCAGUGAUGAACAACACAAUCUUAACGAAUUUUAGAAAUUAAUAAUCGUGGCUGAGUAGGUAUGCAGGCUUCUAUUUGUUUUCCCAAGUGAAGUAUUUUUUUCUUUUCCCCAGUGUUUAAUCGUCGGCAGCCAGACGCUGUGCUCUGUGAUCGAGAACGUUGCUUUGGUAAUGGCAAGCUUCCUCAUGUUCUUCACGAUAAAGAUUGGGAUAUAAUUUUGGAAUAGUCCAUUGUCUAUGGCUUCCAUCGGUUGGAACUGUAGACCUUAAAGAGGGCUCUAGCCGUUGUUCCACGAAAGAGAAAUGGUGGUGAUCCUGAUGGAAAUCCAAGUUCGCCAUCGAUCAAACAGAAGACUAUCAAGAUGAGGAUGACUAUAAGGAUGAAGCAGAGCUUGAGAUUUAUUGUAUCCAACAACGUCUGAGCAAAUGGGAUUAGUAAAUGGGAGAAGCUGACACAUAAGCAGAAUCUGAGGUAGAUCAACAGAUAGAAUAACUUUUAUGGUAUAGAAUUCAGAAAUUCAAUAACUAGACAUUUCUUUACAAGUCUUUUUCAUAUCCCUCUAUUCUUCUGUUUGAAAUGUGAGAUAUAUUUAGGGGAUUUAUUACAGAAUCGCAUGUUGAAAUGUUGUGACAGUGAUGAGCAUGCUUAUUACUCAUCGAUUAUGUCAUAUGGCAGGCGUAGCCUUGACAACCAAGGUAAUAAAAUCAGCUAAAAGGAGUAUUUGGCCAUGACUAUUUACCUUCUCUUUAUGUGUAUCCAUGUGCAAGAGUUAACUCACAUAUAUUGGUACCAUGAGAUUUAGAAACUAAAGAAAAUAAUAUAUAGUUGAACUGUUUUGUCCUGAUCGUACUGAUCUCAUUUUGUAUUUUUAUAAGAUAUUUUUCAAGUUGAGAUAAUCUUCGUGAUUGUCUCAUGGGAUAACAUUUUAGGAAGUUAAACAGAGAAAGUCAAAAGGUGCGGGCUUGACAGAUGAGUUGGCAGCUUGAAGAAGAAGACAUUUGUUCUCUCAGGAUAUUUUCAGUUAAGGAGUUGUUGAACAUAAGUAGAAGUGCUGGAUGUCUUUGGGAAUUACGAUUGAGGAUUGUAAUCAUAAACAAAGCAAAACUUAGGUCUUUUGAGGCGAGAGUUCAACAGAUCUUUAAGUGAUGGAUUUGUAAAAUUUUUAUUCAGAUUCGGUUAUUCAGUGUACGUCCGUACCAUUUUGUAAGUCAUCUUUUUAAAUUGAAUAACAAGUUACAGAGAUUUGAAGGUGAAA